rnacentral:rRNA from 1 species
GAUGAACGCUAGCGGCAGGCCUAACACAUGCAAGUCGAGGGAGAAGCCCUUCGGGGCAGAAACCGGCGCACGGGUGCGUAACGCGUAUGCAACCUACCUUUCACAGGGGGAUAGCCCGAAGAAAUUUGGAUUAAUACCCCAUAAUAUUAUUGGAUGGCAUCAUUUGAUAAUUAAAAUUACGAUGGUGAAAGAUGGGCAUGCGUCCUAUUAGCUAGUUGGAGUGGUAACGGCACCCCAAGGCUACGAUAGGUAGGGGUCCUGAGAGGGAGAUCCCCCACACUGGUACUGAGACAGGGACCAGACUCCUACGGGAGGCAGCAGUGAGGAAUAUUGGUCAAUGGUCGGAAGACUGAACCAGCCAUGCCGCGUGCAGGAAGAAUGCCUUAUGGGUUGUAAACUGCUUUUAUAUGGGAAGAAUAAGGAGUACGCGUAC